AUUGCAGGCUGCAACUCGCCUGCAUGAAGUCGGAAUUGCUAGUAAUCGUAGGUCAGCAUACUACGGUGAAUACGUUCCCGGGUCUUGUACACACCGCCCGUCACACCAUGGGAGUCGGUAACACCCGAAGUCAGUAGUCUAACCGCAAGGAGGACGCUGCCGAAGGUGGGAUUGACGACUGGGGUGAAGUCGUAACAAGGUACC
rnacentral:rRNA from 1 species